rnacentral:rRNA from 1 species
UACGGAGGGUGCAAGCGUUGUUCGGAUUUACUGGGCGUAAAGCGCGCGCAGGUGGAUGGACAAGUCGGAAGUGAAAUCUUGAGGCUCAACCUCGAGGCUGCUCCCGAAACUGUUCGUCUAGGGACUGGUAGAGGCUGGUAGAAUUCCCGGUGUAGCGGUGGAAUGCGUAGAGAUCCGGAAGAACACCGGUGGCGAAGGCGGCCUGCUGGGCAGUGGCUGACGCUGAGGCGCGACAGCGUGGGGAGCAAACAGG